CUGGUCUGUCUCUGGGUGAAUACUCAAGCUCUGGGCAGCUGGCACAGAGUCUUUUUUUCUUUUUUCCAGCAGUAGGUAAACCUUAGGAGGAACCAGUCAAAGGAAGCAGCACUGUCUGGAACUGUCAAGUUCUUGUUCGGCAACUCGGUUACUGGUUUGAUCUACUUUUCGGAUGUAGAGGCAAGUGGACUGCUGUCUUGAAAUGAUAAAAUUAAAAACAUGAAGUUUGUCAAACGUGGCAGUGCCUGUUUACAGACUGUUUAUUGCUUUCGCCAGUGGUAGAUAACGCUUACAAGGAAUUGGUCAAAGGAAAGAGUGCCUUCUGGAACUGUGAAGCUCUGCAUUGGUAACUCAGUGACUGGCUUGACCUACUGUCCAGCUCCAGAGGGAGGCAGACCCAUGUUUUGAAAUAAAAAAAAAAAAAAAAAUUAUGGCACCGCUCUAUGGCACCCAGAGGACCACCACUCUGUGUGGCAGUUAAAAGAAUCUGAUUUAGAGAUGGAGAGCAGCAGAGGUAAAGCAGCUGGGAAGAGAUAGGUAUUGCAGUAGGUAGGCUGUGGUUAUGAGGUGCCUCAGGGUGUGCUUUUCUCUUGUCUCUGCAGGUGCCUAGUGCAGUCUUGGACAGGGAAAUCCCCAUGUCACGGAGCAGUGAGGGAAGGUGAGAGUGUUGUGAGCGAGGUUGUUAUAAAUGACUGGGUCCC
rnacentral:lncRNA from 1 species